AUUGCACACUGUUAAAGCUCAGAUGAAGCCAUGCUGGCUAAUGAACUCUUGAGUGUCGGAAGUGUGCCAUAGCAUUAUUGUGGCAAGAUUUUCGCUAACACCGUCAGAGUCCUUGGCUCAAUGAUCGGCGUUUGAUAGUGAUCUCUGCUACAGUU
ensembl:snoRNA SNORA62 Small nucleolar RNA SNORA62/SNORA6 family